GAUGAACGCUGGCGGCGUGCCUAAUACAUGCAAGUCGAGCGAACGGACGAGAAGCUUGCUUCUCUGAUGUUAGCGGCGGACGGGUGAGUAACACGUGGAUAACCUACCUAUAAGACUGGGAUAACUUCGGGAAACCGGAGCUAAUACCGGAGAAUAUUUUGAACCGCAUGGUUCAAAAGUGAAAGACGGUCUUGCUGUCACUUAUAGAUGGAUCCGGGCUGCAUUGGCUAGUUGGUAAGGUAACGGCUUACCAAGGGAACGAUGCAUAGCCGACCUGAGAGGGUGAUCGGCCACACUGGAACUGAGACACGGUCCAGACUCCUACGGGAGGCAGCAGUAGGGAAUCUUACGCAAUGGGCGAAAGCCUGACGGAGCAACGCCGCGUGAGUGAUGAAGGUCUUCGGAUCGUAAAACUCUGUUAUUAGGGAAGAACAUAUGUGUAAGUAACUGUGCACAUCUUGACGGUACCUAAUCAGAAAGCCACGGCUAACUACGUG
rnacentral:rRNA from 1 species